AGCGUAACGGUAGCCAUGGAAGUCGGAACCCGCUAAGGAGUGAGUGUGCAACAACCCACCUGAAUGAACAAG
rnacentral:rRNA from 1 species